rnacentral:piRNA from 8 species
UGGGUCGGGGUUUCGUACGUAGCAG